rnacentral:tRNA from 1 species
UUGUUAAAGUGUUUAGCACUUAAAAAUUUGAUUUUUAAAGAGAUAUGAAAAUAUCUAACAAAU